rnacentral:misc_RNA from 1 species
CAGCCUCGAUGGACAGAAUAAGAAG